GCUUUCAUAGCAUAGUGGUAGUGCGUUCGCUUCGUAAGCGAAAGGUCGUGAGUUCGAUCCUCACUGAGAGCA
rfam:Selaginella moellendorffii unplaced genomic scaffold SELMOscaffold_64, whole genome shotgun sequence.